GCCAUAUGAAGGACUGUGGCUUAGGGGUAGAGCAUCUACUUUGUGUGCAGAAGGUCUCAGGUUUGAUCCCCGGAAUUUCCAGGCA